rnacentral:rRNA from 1 species
AUUUGAUUUUCUCUCCCAUUGGAUACCGUGGGAAAUCUAGAGCUAAUACGUGCGGUACAUUGGCGUGCUCUCGGGUACGUCAAAGCAUUUAUUAGACUAAACCAACUACUAUGUUCACGCAUAGUAAGGGGAAUCUGGAUAACUUUGCUGAUCGUAUGGCCUUGCGCCGGCGACGUUUCAAUUGAGUUUCUGCCCUAUCAACUUGUUGGUAAGGUAUUGGCUUACCAAGGUUGCAACGGGUAACGGGGAAUCAGGGUUCGAUUCCGGAGAGGGAGCCUGAGAAACGGCUGCCACAUCCAAGGAAGGCAACAGGCGCGCAAAUUACCCAAUCUAGACAGUAGGAGGUGGUAAAGAGAAUUACUAAAUGGUGGUCCUAUGGAUCACUUGUUUGGAAUGAACGUAACUUAAGAAAUUCGUUGAUAAACAACUGGAGGGCAAGUCCUGGUGCCAGCAGCCGCGGUAAUUCCAGCUCCAGUAGUUUGCUUUAAAGUUGUUGCGUUUAAAACGCUCGUAGUUGGAUCACGCAGCAGUGUCCAGUAAUCUAGUGCAUCAAUGUACCUGUUGUGCUUGUCUCGUACGGCCAACUCGUAUAUGAGCGCUAGAUAUCAUGCUGGACGCUGUUAGUUGCACGUGAGAUAGAACGUUGGCCUUGAAUGAGCCGAUGUUCUCGUCUUGCGGGGUGUGCCUUGAAUAAAACAGAGUGCUCAAAGCAGGUUAAUGCCUGAAUGGUUUAGCAUGGAACGAACAAUCGUGUAUAUGUGCGUGUCAUGGAUUGGUUACGAGCCUAUGGUUUGUAGUUAUCUGUGGCACGCACGGCACCCACCAAAGUAUGGCUGUUGGUUCCAUAUACGGUGAUGAUUAACAGGAGCGGUUGGGGGCAUCAGUAUUUGGCCGCGAGAGGUGAAAUUCUUAGACCGGCCAAGGACUAGCAAAUGCAAAGGCACUUGUCUAGACCGUUUCCAUUAAUCAAGAACGAAAGUGGGAGGUUCGAAGACGAUCAGAUACCGUCGUAGUUCCCACCGUAAACUAUGCCGACCUGGGAUCAGUUUAGAGAUGUUACAAGCUCUAGAUUGGUCCCCCUGGGAAACCUGAAGUUUUUCGGUUACGGGGAGAGUAUGGUCGCAAGGCUGAAACUUAAAGGAAUUGACGGAAGGGCACCACCAGGGGUGGAGCCUGCGGCUUAAUUUGACUCAACACGGGGAAACUUACCUGGUCCGGACAUCGAUAGGAUUAUCAGAUUAAUAGCUCUUAUAUGAUCCGAUGAGUGGUGGUGCAUGGCCGUUCUUAGUUCGUGGAGUGAUCUGUCAGCUUAAUUGCGGUAACGAACGAGACCACAGUCACUAUUUAAAAGAUAGAAGCAGGCGCUCGGCUUAUUGACGCAAGUUGGUUUGUUGCACGCCGUAGGUAGGAUGGAGUGUUUGGUGCGCUAGCGUGAUGGGGCAACCUGUUGCGUUGGUUCCUGGGCACGCUGUUUCUCCCUUCUAUCACGCAGCAGUUGGYUUUGGCUGGCUGUUGCCUUAUAGUGAGACAACGAGGUAUAAACAAGCUCGAGGAAGAGUGGCUAUAACAGGUCUGUGAUGC